rnacentral:rRNA from 1 species
GACGAACGCUGGCGGCGUGCCUAAUACAUGCAAGUAGAACGCUGAAGGAGGAGCUUGCUCUUCUGGAUGAGUUGCGAACGGGUGAGUAACGCGUAGGUAACCUGCCUGGUAGCGGGGGAUAACUAUUGGAAACGAUAGCUAAUACCGCAUAAGAGUAGAUGUUGCAUGUCAUUUACUUAAAAGGUGCAAUUGCAUCACUACCAGAUGGACCUGCGUUGUAUUAGCUAGUUGGUGGGGUAACGGCUUACCAAGGCGACGAUACAUAGCCGACCUGAGAGGGUGAUCGGCCACACUGGGACUGAGACACGGCCCAGACUCCUACGGGAGGCAGCAGUAGGGAAUCUUCGGCAAUGGACGGAAGUCUGACCGAGCAACGCCGCGUGAGUGAAGAAGGUUUUCGGAUCGUAAAGCUCUGUUGUAAGAGAAGAACGAGUGUGAGAGUGGAAAGUUCACACUGUGACGGUAUCUUACCAGAAAGGGACGGCUAACUACGUG